rnacentral:rRNA from 1 species
AUUGAACGCUGGCGGCAUGCCUUACACAUGCAAGUCGAACGGCAGCACGGGUGCUUGCACCUGGUGGCGAGUGGCGAACGGGUGAGUAAUACAUCGGAACGUACCUUAUCGUGGGGGAUAACGCAGCGAAAGUUGCGCUAAUACCGCAUACGCCCUGAGGGGGAAAGCGGGGGACCGUAAGGCCUCGCGCGAUUAGAGCGGCCGAUGUCUGAUUAGCUUGUUGGUGAGGUAAAAGCUCACCAAGGCGAUGAUCAGUAGCUGGUCUGAGAGGACGAUCAGCCACACUGGGACUGAGACACGGUCCAGACUCCUACGGGAGGCAGCAGUGGGGAAUUUUGGACAAUGGGGGCAACCCUGAUCCAGUAAUGCCGCGUGAGUGAACAAGGCCUUCGGGUUGUAAAGCUCUUUUGUCAGGGAAGAAACAGCAGCUCUAACACAGUCUGCGAAUGACGGUACCUGAAGAAUAAGCACCGGCUAACUACGUGCCAGCCGCCGCCGUAA